AUUGAACGCUGGCGGCAGGCCUAACACAUGCAAGUCGAGCGGAUGAAGGGAGCUUUCUCCUGGAUUCAGCUGCGGACGGGUGGGUAAUGCCUAGGAAUCUGCCUUGUAUUGGGGGAUAACGUCAGGAAACGGGCGCUAAUACCGCAUACGUCCUGAUGUAGAAAGGGGUGGAUCUUCGGACCUCACGCUAUCAGAUGAGCCUAGGUCGGAUUAGCUAGUUGGUGGGGUAAAGGCCUACCAAGGCGACGAUCCGUAACUGGCCUGAGAGGAUGAUCAGUCACACUGGAACUGAGACACGGUCCAGACUCCUACGGGAGGCAGCAGUGGGGAAUAUUGGACAAUGGGCGAAAGCCUGAUCCAGCCACGCCGCGUGUGUGAAGAAGGUCUUCGGAUCGUAAAGCACUUUAAGUUGGGAGGAAGAGAAGUAAGUUAAUCCAUUGCUGUCUUGACGGUACCAACAGAAUAAGCAACGGCUAACUUCGUG
rnacentral:rRNA from 1 species